CUGAUGCGUUGUUGGGUAGGGGAGCGUUCUGUAAGCCUGCGAAGGUGGCCUGUGAGGGUUGCUGGAGGUAUCAGAAGUGCGAAUGCUGACAUAAGUAACGAUAAAGCGGGUGAAAAGCCCGCUCGCCGGAAGACCAAGGGUUCCUGUCCAACGUUAAUCGGGGCAGGGUGAGUCGACCCCUAAGGCGAGGCCGAAAGGCGUAGUCGAUGGGAAACGGGUUAAUAUUCCCGUACUUGGUGUUACUGCGAAGGGGGGACGGAGAAGGCUAUGUUGGCCGGGCGACGGUUGUCCCGGUUUAAGCGUGUAGGUGUGUGUUCCAGGUAAAUCCGGUU
rnacentral:rRNA from 4 species